CGGGAAAUGUGGCGUUUUGGAGUGAGCGUGCCGGGUUCGCGCUGGACGGCAAGUCCCCCUGACCGGGGCCUAUCCAUAGCGGGUGCGAGACCCAUAGCCGUCCGGUGCGUCUCGGAUGCGAUCUCCUUGGAGUCGGGUUGCUUGGGAGUGCAGCCCUAAUCGGGUGGUAAACUCCACCUAAGGCUAAAUACCGCCGUGAGACCGAUAGCAAACAAGUACCGUGAGGGAAAGUUGCAAAGAACUUUGAAGAGAGAGUUCAAGAGUACGUGAAACUGCUCAGAGGCAAACGGGUGGGCCCUCGAAAUCCUGUGGCGAGAGGAUUCAGUCUGGCGUGUCGUUCGAGCCUGGCCGGAAUACCGAAUAAGGAUUCCCGGGACCGGGGCCGUCCGGCCGCUCGCACAGACGACGUAGACCAGACGCAUUUGGCUCUCGCCCGAAGGACGCUGCAGCCGGCGGGGCAGUGCAAGCGCGACGGCCUGAAGGUCGGGAGACGGCAGGUGGCCGUUGGCGUGCCUCGUGUGCGUCGACGGUUGUUAGCCAUCCCGUCAGUGGCCCGUCGCCCCGCCGUGGUGUCACAAGGCCCUCGAYGGGCUUCUCCGCCUCCUUUAAAACCGAAGCGAGUGGGCAACCGCUGGCGCUCGGCCGCGGACAAGUCGCACUCCCUCAGGGUGGACGGUCUGCGCGUCGGCGCCGCAGGCGGAGGCCGCGGACUCGUAGGAGCGCCGGAGGCUGGCAGCGAGUAGGUCGGUCACCCACCCGACCCGUCUUGAAACACGGACCAAGGAGUCUAACAUGUGCGCGAGUCAAUGGGUCUUGAACAGGCCCAGGGGCGCAAUGAAAGCAAAGGCCGGCUCUUGCGCCGGCCGAGUCGGGAUCCCUCGCYYUCGGGCGGGGGCGCACCGACGACCCGUCCCGUCCGGCUCGCCGGUGGGGCGGAGUUUGA
rnacentral:rRNA from 1 species